rnacentral:rRNA from 1 species
CCUACGGGAGGCAGCAGUGGGGAAUAUUGCGCAAUGGGCGAAAGCCUGAUGCAGCGACGCCGCGUGAGGGAUGAAGGUCUUCGGAUCGUAAACCUCUGUCAGCAGGGAAGAACGGUCACUGUGCUAAUCAGCAGUGAAUUGACGGUACCUGCAAAGGCAGCACCGGCUAACUCCGUGCCAGCAGCCGCGGUAAUACGGAGGGUGCGAGCGUUAAUCGGAAGUACUGGGCGUAAAGCGCUCGUAGGCGGUAUGUCAAGUCAAGGGUGAAAUACCCGCGCUCAACGUGGGAACUGCCGUUGAAACUGGCAGACUGGAGUGUGUGAGAGGAGAGUGGAAUUCCAGGUGUAGGAGUGAAAUGCGUAGAUAUCUGGAGGAACAUCAGUGGCGAAGGCGGCUAUCUGGCACAUAACUGACGCUGAGGAGCGAAAGCGUGGGUAGCGAACAGGAUUAGAUACCCGAGUAGUC